AGAGUUUGAUCAUGGCUCAGAUUGAACGCUGGCGGCAGGCUUAACACAUGCAAGUCGAGCGGGGGAAGGUAGCUUGCUACUGGACCUAGCGGCGGACGGGUGAGUAAUGCUUAGGAAUCUGCCUAUUAGUGGGGGACAACAUCUCGAAAGGGAUGCUAAUACCGCAUACGUCCUACGGGAGAAAGCAGGGGACCUUCGGGCCUUGCGCUAAUAGAUGAGCCUAAGUCGGAUUAGCUAGUUGGUGGGGUAAAGGCCUACCAAGGCGACGAUCUGUAGCGGGUCUGAGAGGAUGAUCCGCCACACUGGGACUGAGACACGGCCCAGACUCCUACGGGAGGCAGCAGUGGGGAAUAUUGGACAAUGGGCGGAAGCCUGAUCCAGCCAUGCCGCGUGUGUGAAGAAGGCCUUUUGGUUGUAAAGCACUUUAAGCGAGGAGGAGGCUACUAAGAUUAAUACUCUUGGAUAGUGGACGUUACUCGCAGAAUAAGCACCGGCUAACUCUGUGCCAGCAGCCGCGGUAAUACAGAGGGUGCGAGCGUUAAUCGGAUUUACUGGGCGUAAAGCGUGCGUAGGCGGCUUUUUAAGUCGGAUGUGAAAUCCCCGAGCUUAACUUGGGAAUUGCAUUCGAUACUGGGAAGCUAGAGUAUGGGAGAGGAUGGUAGAAUUCCAGGUGUAGCGGUGAAAUGCGUAGAGAUCUGGAGGAAUACCGAUGGCGAAGGCAGCCAUCUGGCCUAAUACUGACGCUGAGGUACGAAAGCAUGGGGAGCAAACAGGAUUAGAUACCCUGGUAGUCCAUGCCGUAAACGAUGUCUACUAGCCGUUGGGGCCUUUGAGGCUUUAGUGGCGCAGCUAACGCGAUAAGUAGACCGCCUGGGGAGUACGGUCGCAAGACUAAAACUCAAAGGAAUUGACGG
rnacentral:rRNA from 1 species